GAUGAACGCUGGCGGCGUGCCUAAUACAUGCAAGUCGAGCGAACAGAUAAGGAGCUUGCUCCUUUGACGUUAGCGGCGGACGGGUGAGUAACACGUGGGUAACCUACCUAUAAGACUGGGAUAACUUCGGGAAACCGGAGCUAAUACCGGAUAACAUUUUGAACCGCAUGGUUCUAAAGUGAAAGAUGGUUUUGCUAUCACUUAUAGAUGGACCCGCGCCGUAUUAGCUAGUUGGUAAGGUAACGGCUUACCAAGGCGACGAUACGUAGCCGACCUGAGAGGGUGAUCGGCCACACUGGAACUGAGACACGGUCCAGACUCCUACGGGAGGCAGCAGUAGGGAAUCUUCCGCAAUGGGCGAAAGCCUGACGGAGCAACGCCGCGUGAGUGAUGAAGGGUUUCGGAUCGUAAAACUCUGUUAUUAGGGAAGAACAAACGUGUAAGUAACUGUGCACGUCUUGACGGUACCUAAUCAGAAAGCCACGGCUAACUACGUG
rnacentral:rRNA from 1 species